rnacentral:misc_RNA from 1 species
GAAAUGCGAUACUUGGUGUGAAUUGCAGAAUCCCGUGAACCAUCGAGUCUUUGAACGCAAGUUGCGCCCGAUGCCAUUAGGUUGAGGGCACGUCUGCCUGGGUGUCACAUAUCGAAGCCCCUUGCCAAUUUCCUGUUGAAUAGGUUUUGUGUGCAGGGUGAAUAUGUUGGCCUCCCGUGAGCUCUGUCUCAUGGUUGGUUGAAAAUUGAGACCUUGGUAGGGUGUGCCAUGAUAGAUGGUGGAUGUGUGACCCACGAGACCAAAUCAUGUCACAGCUCUAUUGAAUGCGGACUCUUUUACCCACAUGCGUUUUGCAACGCUCGUGAUGAGACCUCAGGUCAGGCGGGACUACCCGCUGAAUUUAA